AUUGAACGCUGGCGGCAGGCCUAACACAUGCAAGUCGAACGAGUGGCGGACGGGUGAGUAAUGUCUGGGAAACUGCCCGAUGGAGGGGGGUAACUACUGGAAACGGUAGCUAAUACCGCAUACCAUCGGAUGUGCCCAGAUGGGAUUAGCUAGUAGGUGGGGUAACGGCUCACUUAGGCGACGAUCCCUAGCUGGUCUGAGAGGAUGACCAGACACACUGGAACUGAGACACGGUCCAGACUCCGACGGGAGGCAGCAGUGGGGAAUAUUGCACAAUGGGCGCAAGCCUGUUGCAGCCAUGACGCGUGUAUGAAGAAGGCCUUCGGGUUGUAAAGUACUUUCAGCGAGGAGGCGUUACUCGCAGAAGAAGCACCGGCUAACUCCGUGCCAGCAGCCGCGGUAAUAC
rnacentral:rRNA from 1 species